rnacentral:lncRNA from 1 species
GUAGUGGCCAGAGGCAUGACCGUGACUCCUACAGCAGUAGCAGGAAAAAAGGCCAGCACGGGUCAGAGCACUCCAAAUCACGAUCCUCAAGCCCUGGAAAACCCCAGGCUGUUUCUUCACUAAGUUCUAGUCAUUCCAGGUCUCAUGGGAAUGACCACCAUAGCAAGGAACAUCAGCGCUCCAAAUCACCUCGGGACCCUGAUGCCAACUGGGAUUCUCCUUCCCGGGUACCUUUUUCAAGUGGGCAACAUUCAAGUCAGUCUUUCCCACCUUCUUUGAUGUCAAAAUCUAGUUCAAUGUUACAGAAACCCACUGCCUAUGUACGGCCCAUGGAUGGACAGGAGUCUGUGGAACCAAAGCUGUCCUCUGAGCACUACAGCAGCCAGUCUCAUGGUAGUAACAUGACUGAGCUGAAGCCCAGCAGCAAAGCACAUCUUACCAAGCUGAAAAUACCUUCCCGACCUCUGGAUGCAUCAGUUUCUGGUGAUGUAAGCUGUGUGGAUGAAAUACUUAAAGAGAUGACGCACUCAUGGCCUCCCCCUCUAACGGCUAUUCAUACACCAUGCAAAACAGAACCUUCCAAAUUUCCUUUUCCAACUAAGGUAAG